ensembl:lncRNA
CUCCAAGUCAAUCCCAGUCCUCAGUUGCCUGAGAGUAGAACUGUAUUUGAGAUAUGGAAAUGCCUAUCUUAUAUAUAAAAAGCAUUGUUGUUACCUGGCUGAGCUCCAGUUCCGCUUCCUUGGUGAUUGGGACCAUCCUCCACAUCCUGUGUGGACUGGGGCUCUUCCUCCUGUUCCUUCCCUCCCUCCAGAGGAAUUUGCCCUUACAACCACCUUACAAAAGGAGAAACGUCAGGAAGCGUCAAAUGAAGCUGAGAGGGAGGAGCAGCAGGAGCAGGAAGAAAAAGGGAGCUUUGAAAGGUAAGCUUCUGCCUUUCAGCCCUGUGCCCCAGAGCUGGCCUCCAUCUCCUGUCCCUGAGCGCCCAGCUCCAUGGGCUCGAGGAUGCCAGGGGCAGAGCCUGUCCCUCAGGAAACAGAGCCCUCAGGGAAGCUCCCAGGAAGGAGAUGAAAACCUGAGUACUUGCUAGAUUCUGUGCUGGGAACUAAGGCCCAGGCCAGCAGGCAUCUGGAACAGGGUGUUGAUCAGCAGGGGCAUGUGGGCUGUGGUGGAGGUUGAAGCACUUGGUCAGUGACAAACCUCAACCCUCCAGCAGCCUUGCCAUCCCCAUCAGGGAUCCCGUGGCCUUAGACACUAGUGUCUGGGCUCCAGAGUCUGACCUCAAACACUCUCCCCUAAAGGCACAUUGCACGCAGCAUCCUGUAAGAGCCCUAGGCCCCUGCCUUCAUUGCUGUGACCCAGUGUCCUAAUCUCUAGCUUAUAGAGCUGGCCGGAAGGACCUGGCAGAAGUGGGGGGCCUGAUGUCCCUUUUGCAAAGCUCCCCGGGGAGGCUGUCUUGUAAGGGAUGCUUCCAUCUCUUGUCAUCUCAAGAUUCCCCUGGGGAGGCAUGCAAGACAGCAUCUGCUAGAGUUCACCAGCCAUGCGGGAAGACUGUGGAAGGUGCUCCUCUCACCAUGAAUCCAGCACUUUCCCUGGCUCUUCUGACCAGCCCACUCUACCUUUGGCCUCCACUCUGCCAGCAGAACCUGCAUCUGCCUUGACCAGAACUCCACUAGGCCCUUUUUCCACGAGCUCAGCUCUAGCUCACUCCUGUUUCCCAUCUACCAACUCAGGCCACAGCCCCACGAGCUGUCGCAUUGCGUUCCUCAGCAAAUCUAUGAAUUAUCCUUUUGUUGGUUUGAGUCAAGGGUGGAGGAAAUGCCCUGUAGAAAGUUCCAACCAUGCCAGGUCUUCGUUUUCUUACUGGACAUGGGCUAGUUUAGGAGCAUCAUGUGAUGGAGCAUAAAGGGUGGACUUUGAGGACAACCGGGUCUGGGGUUGAACGAAAGCUUAGCCAUUCGUGAACUGCCUGAUCUAAGACAUGUUCUUAACCAUUCUGAAUUUCAGUUUCUCAAUCCGGGUAAAGAGAAUAAUAAGAUUUACCAGUAGGAGUUAUAGGACUUAGUUUCUUUUCUGGUUCUCUGAUCUACUCUCUAAUUUUUGCAAGUCAUGUGACCUCUUCAGACCUACCUAUCUUUGAGCGAAAAUGAAGGUCUUAUUGGUUCUCCAAAGGAAUAUGAUUUUGUCCCACCCGGGGGCAUCUGAAAGUGUGUGUGGUGUUUUUUGAUUGUCAUGAAACUAAGGGAAUCAAGAACGUAAAGUGCUCUGUAAGGGGGAGGACAGUCCCAUACAACAGAGAAUUGUUCCAUCAGAAAAUCAACGUAGCCCUGUUGUGAAACCCAAUUAGAACAUCUCUGAAGUCUUUGUCACCUUAACAUUUCAUCAUUUUACUCUAUGUCAUUGUUUCCUUACAAUUAUGAUGGAUGAACUAGAUAACUAAAUGCUAUGAGCCACCCUGCCACACAUGAGCAUGUUUAUCAAAAUGAAGGAUGGUGGAAUAAAGAACUGGCUUUUUUUGGGUUGGAGUAAAGGGCUCAAGGCAAGUCUCAGAGCGUGUGAGACAGAAGCUUCCCUGGAAAUAUUUCCUAAAGUGCUCACUAUGGAAAGUAAAGGAAACCUAUAUUUCAUGAGCAGAGUUGCAGGGUGUCAGCAACCUCAUCCUUGCAAUCUUGGAAGACUGGAGAAACAGUACAACAUGAUACUUGCAGAGUUAAGCCUGUACAGAGAACUAGGUGACUAGAAAAGAACAGGCAAGAAGAUUGGCUUAAAUUUCUAAAUGGCAGUGACUUUAAACUUGUCUGUAACAUUUUGCAUAAGGCAGAAGUGUAGAACUGGUGAAGGUGGAUUCUCUUACCAUUAUUUGGAUAAAGUCAUAUUCAAUAUCACCACAGUGAAGAGCUAAUUCUGUACUCAUUAUAAAAAUUUUACCCAGCUUAUGUUUCCAUCUAGUUCCACAGAGGAAAUGAGUAUCUGUUGCAUAAGCCCCUGGGAAAAAAAAAUCUGGAACAAUGACUUUCUCCUGCUAAAGCAAGUUCAUGCUGGAGGUGUCAUACUACAGAGGUUUUUAGUAAGAAUUACUGUUGGUGGAAAAUUCCCCUUAGCCCCUUUUCAAGUGGAAUUUUUUAAAAAAGAAAGCAAGAGACAUUCUCAGUGACAAGCCUGUUCAGAAAGACAAGUAGACAAAUUACUAAUUACAUAAUAAUUAGUGAGUUGAAGUAGGCAUGCCAAAUCAAUUUUUAAGUCAAGGUACAGUGUUGAAAAACUGUAAAUCGCUCGUUGGCUCACCAUGUGGUUUGACUCAAUAACAAGACAAGUUCGAAUUUCUUUUUAACGUUAUAUUAUUUUAAAAAAGUUGCUUUUAAACAGUAAUCCAG